CCCCUCUCAGGGUCGCACCUGGAGGACUUCCAGUAUUCUCCCAGCCUCGGGUAUGGAAGGGAGAGUCAAGCAGAGGCCUACCCAUUCCAUUCCUAGCUUGACCAUUGGCUAGCUAGUGGAAGGAAAUCUGCUACAAGU